rnacentral:rRNA from 1 species
AUGCACGCUAUGCGGCACAACACCGGCAAUACCUUGCCGAUGAUGGUCAAUGGCCGGCAGACGGGUAACAAAAAGGUUCUGGUGCUGCACACCAACAAGAACUUCGACCAGCAGAGGACCAACUGGGUGAUGCACCAGUACCACCUCGGGGACCUGGAGCAAGAGAAGGAGCGGGAGCUGGUCGUCCGCAAGUUGGUAUUGUUGUUAACGAUCUUUUGGUCGAGCAAGUUUCCACUAGGAUGUAGACUGCCCAGGCUUGGUUUCGUUUUCAACAGGCCCAACCCAUGA